rnacentral:rRNA from 1 species
GACGAACGCUGGCGGCGUGCUUAACACAUGCAAGUCGAACGGUAAGGCCCUUCGGGGUACACGAGUGGCGAACGGGUGAGUAACACGUGGGUGAUCUGCCCCGCACUUCGGGAUAAGCCUGGGAAACUGGGUCUAAUACCGGAUAGGACUCCGGACUGCAGGGUCUGGGGUGGACAGCUUUUGCGGUGUGGGAUGGGCCCGCGGCCUAUCAGCUUGUUGGUGGGGUGAUGGCCUACCAAGGCGACGACGGGUAGCCGGCCUGAGAGGGUGACCGGCCACACUGGGACUGAGAUACGGCCCAGACUCCUACGGGAGGCAGCAGUGGGGAAUAUUGCACAAUGGGCGCAAGCCUGAUGCAGCGACGCCGCGUGAGGGAUGACGGCCUUCGGGUUGUAAACCUCUUUCAGCAUCGACGAAGCGAAAGUGACGGUAGGUGCAGAAGAAGGACCGGCCAACUACGUGCCAGCCGCCGCAGUAA